GCUCAGAUUGAACGCUGGCGGCAGGCCUAACACAUGCAAGUCGAACGGUAACAGGAAUCAGCUUGCUGAUUUGCUGACGAGUGGCGGACGGGUGAGUAAUGUCUGGGAAACUGCCUGAUGGAGGGGGAUAACUACUGGAAACGGUAGCUAAUACCGCAUAACGUCGCAAGACCAAAGAGGGGGACCUUCGGGCCUCUUGCCAUCGGAUGUGCCCAGAUGGGAUUAGCUAGUAGGUGGGGUAACGGCUCACCUAGGCGACGAUCCCUAGCUGGUCUGAGAGGAUGACCAGCCACACUGGAACUGAGACACGGUCCAGACUCCUACGGGAGGCAGCAGUA
rnacentral:rRNA from 1 species